rnacentral:SRP_RNA from 1 species
ACUGGGUGCGGUGGCGCAUGCCUGUAGUCCCAGCUAGGGAGGCUGAGGUGGGAGGAUCGCUUGAGUCCAGGAGUUCUGGACUGUAGUGCACUCUGCUGAUCGAGUGUCUGCACUAAGUUUGUCAUCAAUAUGGUGACCUCCCAGGAGUGGGUGACCACCAGGUUGCCUAAGGAGGGGUGAACCAGCCCAGGUUGGAAAUGGAGCAGGUCAAAACUCCCAUGCUGAUCAGCAGUGGGAUCGUGCCUGUGACUAGCCACUGCACUCCAGCCUGGGCAACAUAGCGAGAUCCCAUCUCU